CCCUAUCUCCGCCAUUUUGUGGACAGACGGUGGAGAGUCGCAGAAGUGUUCACAUUACUUCAGCCUUCACGACCAUAACCAGUGAAGUGGUGUCCAUUAGAGGUGGUGAGGCCAGAUGUUGAGAGAGGUCACUUUUCUCCUUAAGAUGUCUAGGACUUAGUGACAGAGAGUCCGAGAGGAAGGUCACUUAGUAAGGAGUGCAAUGAAGAGCCCCAGCUUUCCUUGAAUUUCUUCUCUCCUCACUUACUUUACCAGAAUCAUCACAUUUAUAUUGUAAUGAUGUAAUAAAGAAAAAUUGUACUGUAAUUAAUACCGGUGAUUUUUAAUGUGCCACUGCUUUUAAUCUAACGGUGAUAACAAUAAUAAUAAUCAUAAUUAACAAUAAUAAAUAAAACUCCUUUCUCUCUCUGCCAAUAUUAUUAGAGAGAGAGAGAGAGAGAUGCAUUGGUGUAAUGGUAAUAAUGGGUAGUAUUGUAAUUACUGGUGGAUGUAAUUGAUAUAAUGUUUAGUAGUCUAAUGGUGUUAUUAAUAGAUGGGUUAAGUUAAUUUACUUGUGUUUUAAACUUUAAUUAUCUACUUGUAAAUUUAGUAAGAAAAUUGAUUGCAAUUAAUAAUGGCUAAUGGUAUUCUAUUCAAUGAGUUGGGUUUCAUUACUGUUAUGUCAUUUAAAUGUAUUUUUACACACACACACACACACACACACAUUUCUGCCUCAUCCUGUGUUUAUUACAAAUCACAAACACAAUUUCUUCCUUUGUCUUCUCAAGUUACUAAAAUUACCCUUUAACUCAACAAAACACACAAUUUAUGCUUCCUUCUAAAUCACAAAAGCACAAUUUUUCCCUCACCCCAAAACAAAAUCUCUCUACUCAUCUCAUCAUUAAUGUAGUUUGAGUGUUAAUAAAACAAUAACAUUUAGUAAAUAUUUAUUGGAAAUAGUAUUGAUUGAUUGAUCUGUAAAAUAA